CUACGGGAGGCUCCAGUGGGGAAUAUUGGGCAAUGGGCGUAAGCCUGACCCAGCAACGCCGCGUGAGGGAAGAAGGUUCUCGGAUUGUAAACCUCUGUCCUUGGGGACGAAGAAAGUGACGGUACCCAAGGAGGAAGCUCCGGCUAACUACGUGCCAGCAGCCGCGGUAAUACGUAGGGAGCAAGCGUUGUCCGGAAUUACUGGGCGUAAAGGGUGCGUAGGCGGCAUAUUAAGUCAGGUGUGAAAUAUUCGGGCUCAACCCGAAGGGUGCAUUUGAAACUGGUAUGCUUGAGUGUGGGAGAGGAAAGUGGAAUUCCUAGUGUAGCGGUGAAAUGCGUAGAUAUUAGGAGGAACACCAGUGGCGAAGGCGACUUUCUGGCUCAUAACUGACGCUGAGGCACGAAAGCGUGGGUAGCAAACAGGAUUAGAUACCCGAGUAGUC
rnacentral:rRNA from 1 species